UUUCAAUAUUGUAUUUUUUACUAAAAGCGUUCAAUGAGGAACACAAAAGAAGACAAUACAGGGAGUACUAAAGAAGCACUCGUUUUAUUUGUUUAGAAUGAUUUGCAUAGAUAAGUAGUUCUUUAUUCUUUUGCAACGUCAUAUUAUUUUUAAUAUUUAUUCAGAGAAUUUCGCUCUUUCAUAAUAAUCAUCCUACUAAAUAUUGCACAAAACCUAAAAAAAUAAAAAUCAUAUCUAUUAAAUUUUAUUAGUGUUUAUAUAAAUAAGAAACUCUACGUAUGCGACAAUAAUUAGAAAUUAAAAGAAUGAAUUCGUGCAUGGACACAUUGCCGAAAACUUUAUUGCCGAAAGCCAUUUUUUUGCCGAAAUGACACUUUACCGAACGACCACUUGGCCUAAUUUUUAAUAAAGUUGGUUCGAACCUCAAUUAGAACUGUAUUAUCGAAAAUCAUGACAACCACCCUAUAAAUAAAUAAAUGAAUUAGAAAGAGAAAAUAUGUUUAAAGAAGAGAACGAGUCGAGUGUGGAUUAAGAUUAAUCAAUGACUGAAUGAGUGUCAAUGGACAAUGCAAAUCAAGUAUAAUUUGGAUGGAAUGUGCUGGAGAUCCUAUGUACCUGGUCAAGUCCUGACGGAUACUCCUCUUUCUCGAGGUCGUCUGGGUCUCAAUAAUUUUCAAGAUUUGUUUUUCAUUGGAGUAGAAUCCAACUUACACUACACAAGGAAUACGAGUCAUAAUUAAUUAUUACUAAGUAUGUUUACCAAGAUUUUUCUAUCUUUUCAUACAAGUUGUUAUCCGUGCCUAAGCUUCAGGAAGAAAUGAAAAGUUGGAUCAUCAGAAAAUAUAUCAACUAAAGGCAUAUCAAUAUUUUCAGUCCAGUUUCGAAUCCUAACUCCUACAUUUUCCCCUUUUUAAUCAUUAUAGUCUAUCUGAACUGACUCACUUCACAUAUCUCUUUAUAAAAUUUACUGUUCCUUAGUCCAGGGCCUCUCAAACUGUUGGAGAACCCAUAAGAAGCGUGGAGUAUCCCUAAGGGAUAGGGGUUAUUCAAAUAAUCAAAAUUGUUUUACAUUUAAGUACCUUGUUAUUCUGAGUCCGAAAUCCAGCAUUGUUUCUCUACAUUUCCAAACAACCAAUCCCUACUGAAACUUAAUUACUCCAACAAUUGAUAUAUUUACAUGAUUUAUUUCUAUAACUUUUUUUAAAUUUAAUGACAGGAAAAAAGUACUUUACAAAAUAUUAUAUUUAACAUAAAUAAUGCAUAACGAUGAAUAAAUCUUACAAGUAUGAAAA
rnacentral:lncRNA from 1 species